UACGGAGGGGGCUAGCGUUAUUCGGAAUUACUGGGCGUAAAGCGUUCGUAGGCGGCUUUGUAAGUUAGAGGUGAAAGCCCACGACUCAAUCGUGGAACUGCCUUUGAGACUGCUUCGCUUGAAGAUGGGAGAGGUUAGUGGAGUUCUGAGUGUAGAGGUGAAAUUCGUAGAUAUUCGGAAGAACACCAGUGGCGAAGGCGGCUAACUGGACCAUUCUUGACGCUGAGGAACGAAAGCGUGGUGAGCAAACAGG
rnacentral:rRNA from 1 species